GACGAACGCUGGCGGCGUGCUUAACACAUGCAAGUCGAACGGUAAGGCCCUUCGGGGUACACGAGUGGCGAACGGGUGAGUAACACGUGGGUGAUCUGCCCUGCACUUCGGGAUAAGCCUGGGAAACUGGGUCUAAUACCGGAUAGGACCAUGGACUUCACGGUUUGUGGUGGAAAGCUUUUGCGGUGUGGGAUGGGCCCGCGGCCUAUCAGCUUGUUGGUGGGGUAAUGGCCUACCAAGGCGACGACGGGUAGCCGGCCUGAGAGGGUGUCCGGCCACACUGGGACUGAGAUACGGCCCAGACUCCUACGGGAGGCAGCAGUGGGGAAUAUUGCACAAUGGGCGCAAGCCUGAUGCAGCGACGCCGCGUGAGGGAUGACGGCUCGG
rnacentral:rRNA from 1 species